UACGGAGGGUGCAAGCGUUAUCCGGAUUCACUGGGCUUAAAGGGUGCGUAGGCGGCCUGGUGCGUCCGCUGUGAAAUCCCAGGGCUCAACCCUGGGCGUGCAGUGGAUACGGGCAGGCUGGAGGCAGGCAGGGGAGAACGGAAUUCCCGGUGUAGCGGUGAAAUGCGCAGAUAUCGGGAGGAACACCGGUGGCGAAGGCGGUUCUCUGGGCCUGUACUGACGCUGAGGAGCGAAAGCGUGGGGAGCGAACAGG
rnacentral:rRNA from 1 species